ACUCAAUUUGGUCCCGGAGUAGCCAUUAUUAUUACAAGUGGACCUUUUGCGAGUCAUUGCGCCGAGACAUGCCCGCAGCCGUCCUCGUUGCGUUUACUACUUUUUUUUUAAUCCUUCCAGGAAUCAGACAUCCACCUGUUUACUCUGUAGUUAGAUUAUAGAUUGCUCGUUAUGUAGCUUCGAGAGUUGGUCUUUGGUUCACCACAUCCUCCUUUUGUCUUCUAUUAACACAUACUCUCCCAUUGAACACGGCAAAUGUUAAAGGGUAACUAACAACAUCCGUAGCCAUAAGGAAUGCCAAAUGAAUGCCAAAUGAAUGCCAAAUGAAUAACAGCUAUGAGGUCUUCUAUUGACAACUUCGGCCUAUCUCACCUGUUGUCCCAGACGCUUGUCUGGUCUGUAAAAUCUCAGCGACGAGUGUAAGAUGUCUAUCUGUCUGCCUAGAUGCUGGCUAAUGAACAAACUUACUGCGUAGUUUCCUUUCCACCGAACGAACAUCAAUGAAGAUGUAGCCUUGGUUGAUUUCCGUUUAAGUGACAUAUUUGCCUUUCAAGUCCAGCGGCGAUUCCUUCUCUCCUCGAGUUGCUAUGGAGCAAUCUCGAUUCAAUAAAUAAGAACGGUCUUCCAGUGUUAUGUACAGUACAAUGCUGCAGAUGAAGCGUUCCUUUAUACCGCAUCACGUAACCCAUCACAAAGGUGAAGGAAUGUUCCAUGCCAGCGCACACUACAAGCUGGAGUUCGGAAAACGGAGAAACAUCACUGGUCGAUAUCUCCACAUCAUAUGCAAGCAAAAACAAUGCAUAAGCCCAGUCACGAUUUCCACCUAUCAGUGGUUCUCUUUGCCG
rnacentral:sRNA from 1 species